GUUGUAUGGUUAAGUGACUAAGCGUACACGGUGGAUGCCUUGGCAGUCAGAGGCGAUGAAAGACGUAGUAACUUGCGAUAAGCCCAGAUUAGGUAGUAACAACCAUUUGAGUCUGGGAUUUCUGAAUGGGGAAACCCACGUGCAUAAGCACGUAUCCUUACCUGAAUACAUAGGGUAAGGAGGCGAACCGGGGGAACUGAAACAUCUAAGUACCCCGAGGAAAAGAAAUCAACCGAGAUUCCGAAAGUAGCGGCGAGCGAAAUUGGACUAGCCCUUAAGCUUUACACGCGUUAGACGAACGGUCUGGAAAGUCCGACGAUACAGGGUGAUAGUCCCGUAGUUGACGACGUGUGUUCAGUGAAAUCGAGUAGGGCGGGACACGUGAUAUCCUGUCUGAAUAUGGGGGGACCAUCCUCCAAGGCUAAAUACUACUGACUGACCGAUAGUGAACCAGUACCGUGAGGGAAAGGCGAAAAGAACCCCUGUGAGGGGAGUGAAAUAGAACCUGAAACCGUGUACGUACAAGCAGUAGGAGCAGGCUUUGUCCUGUGACUGCGUACCUUUUGUAUAAUGGGUCAGCGACUUAUAUUCAGUGGCAAGGUUAACCAUCUAGGGGAGCCGUAGGGAAACCGAGUCUUAACUGGGCGUUCAGUCUCUGGAUAUAGACCCGAAACCAGGUGAUCUAGCCAUGGGCAGGUUGAAGGUUGAGUAACAUCAACUGGAGGACCGAACCGACUAAUGUUGAAAAAUUAGCGGAUGACUUGUGGCUAGGGGUGAAAGGCCAAUCAAACCUGGAGAUAGCUGGUUCUCCCCGAAAGCUAUUUAGGUAGCGCCUCGGACGAAUACUACUGGGGGUAGAGCACUGUUAAGGCUAGGGGGUCAUCCCGACUUACCAACCCUUUGCAAACUCCGAAUACCAGUAAGUACUAUCCGGGAGACACACGGCGGGUGCUAACGUCCGUCGUGGAGAGGGAAACAACCCAGACCGCCAGCUAAGGUCCCAAAUUACUACUAAGUGGGAAACGAUGUGGGAAGGCUCAGACAGCCAGGAUGUUGGCUUAGAAGCAGCCAUCAUUUAAAGAAAGCGUAAUAGCUCACUGGUCGAGUCGGCCUGCGCGGAAGAUGUAACGGGGCUAAGUAGUAAACCGAAGCUGCGGCAAUGUGCUUUUGCACAUUGGGUAGGGGAGCGUUCUGUAAGCGGUUGAAGGUGUGUGGUAACGCAUGCUGGACGUAUCAGAAGUGCGAAUGCUGACAUGAGUAACGAUAAAGGGGGUGAAAAACCUCCUCGCCGGAAGACCAAGGGUUCCUGUCCAACGUUAAUCGGGGCAGGGUAAGUCGACCCCUAAGGCGAGGCCGAAAGGCGUAGUCGAUGGGAAACGGGUUAAUAUUCCCGUACUUCUUACAAUUGCGAUGGGGGGACGGAGAAGGCUAGGUGGGCCUGGCGACGGUUGUCCAGGUUCAAGUGCGUAGGCUUAAGAGUUAGGUAAAUCCGGCUCUUUUUAAGGCUGAGACACGACGUCGAGCAUCUACGGAUGUGAAGUCAUUGAUGCCAUGCUUCCAGGAAAAGCCUCUAAGCUUCAGAUUGUAAGGAAUCGUACCCCAAACCGACACAGGUGGUCGGGUAGAGAAUACCAAGGCGCUUGAGAGAACUCGGGUGAAGGAACUAGGCAAAAUGGUACCGUAACUUCGGGAGAAGGUACGCUCUCGACGGUGAAGUCCCUCGCGGAUGGAGCUAUUGAGAGUCGCAGAUACCAGGUGGCUGCAACUGUUUAUUAAAAACACAGCACUGUGCAAAAUCGUAAGAUGACGUAUACGGUGUGACGCCUGCCCGGUGCCGGAAGGUUAAUUGAUGGGGUUAGACUUCGGUCGAAGCUCUUGAUCGAAGCCCCGGUAAACGGCGGCCGUAACUAUAACGGUCCUAAGGUAGCGAAAUUCCUUGUCGGGUAAGUUCCGACCUGCACGAAUGGCGUAAUGAUGGCCACGCUGUCUCCACCCGAGACUCAGUGAAAUUGAAAUCGCUGUGAAGAUGCAGUGUACCCGCGGCUAGACGGAAAGACCCCGUGAACCUUUACUACAGCUUGGCACUGAACAUUGACCCUACAUGUGUAGGAUAGGUGGGAGGCUUUGAAGCACGUACGCCAGUAUGUGUGGAGCCGUCCUUGAAAUACCACCCUUGUAGUGUUGAUGUUCUAACGUCGACCCCUUAUCGGGGUUGCGGACAGUGCCUGGUGGGUAGUUUGACUGGGGCGGUCUCCUCCCAAAGAGUAACGGAGGAGCACGAAGGUGGGCUAAUCACGGUUGGACAUCGUGAGGUUAGUGCAAUGGCAUAAGCCCGCUUGACUGCGAGAAUGACAAUUCGAGCAGGUGCGAAAGCAGGUCAUAGUGAUCCGGUGGUUCUGAAUGGAAGGGCCAUCGCUCAACGGAUAAAAGGUACUCCGGGGAUAACAGGCUGAUACCGCCCAAGAGUUCAUAUCGACGGCGGUGUUUGGCACCUCGAUGUCGGCUCAUCACAUCCUGGGGCUGAAGUCGGUCCCAAGGGUAUGGCUGUUCGCCAUUUAAAGUGGUACGCGAGCUGGGUUUAGAACGUCGUGAGACAGUUCGGUCCCUAUCUGCCGUGGGCGUUGGAAGAUUGAAGGGGGCUGCUCCUAGUACGAGAGGACCGGAGUGGACGAACCUCUGGUGUUCGGGUUGUGUCGCCAGACGCAUUGCCCGGUAGCUAAGUUCGGAAUCGAUAACCGCUGAAAGCAUCUAAGCGGGAAGCGAGCCCUGAGAUGAGUCUUCCCUGAUACUUUAAGUAUCCUAAAGGGUUGUCGGAGACUACGACGUUGAUAGGUCAGGUGUGUAAGUGCUGUGAGGCAUUGAGCUAACUGAUACUAAUUGCCCGUGAGGCUUAACCAUACAACACCUAAGGGGUUU
rnacentral:rRNA from 1 species